GAGUGUAAAUUUUCUUGGCUCAAGAAAAUAUUAAGAAAGGUUGUAAAUUUCUUAAAUGAAGUCAAAGUUUCUGGAGCCAAGAAAAUUUUUUCUUGCUCCAAAAUAACUUUCGUUUUCCUUAAAAUUUUUUUGGCGCAAGAAACUUGUUUUUUGUGUGUA